AAGAAGUGAACUCAAUACCAAGCAACGGGAAGUAGGUUAGAAUAGUAUAAAUAACCCGGCAUUCCACACGGUAGAGCAAUUGCAGAGUCCCAGCUGCUGCCCUCUCGUGGUCACUGAAGCAGGAGACUGAAACCACCUCUUCACGGGCUUCAAGCAGCUCAGCCGCGGGCAGAGCGGAGCUCAGGAUCACGGUGCUGAUUUGUGGCAGUUACUCGGAACAGAAUCAUUUCUCUGUCCUGCGGCUGUGGGCCAGUAAUAACGGCGCAGUGAGCAGAGUGUCCUGGAGACGGAACCGGAGGCUCAUCCAGUCGAUAGUGAAGUCGUGUAGGGCCGCACACGCCGCAGUGACGGACUGGCGCCGGACCCAG